GGGAGUCAUAUUUGUUUUACACUAACAGGAAACUAUGAAAACAAGUAGAUGAGUUUCAGCAUUAAAUUUCUUCAUAAUCCAUUAAGUGAGUAGCUACUAUAAAGAGCUGAGUCAGUAACUGUACAUGCAUUCAAGGAGCCUCUCUGUAUAAGCACUUCCGUUAAAGCUCUAACCUCGUUUUCAUGUCAUUACAGCUAAAAUGAAUAAAAAGCAAAACACUGAGUCUUUGAGAGGGCAGUUACAGUUGAGAUCUGUUAGAUACCUACAAUAUACUCAAAUGGAGAAUUGUAACGGUAAUUCUGUUUUAAAAUGUGUUAUUUAUGUGUCUACUAUAUUUUAAUGUCUGUUUCUGUUUUUAGGGACUUACCCUUUUGUAACCUCUUCAAAUUGUACUGUUGGAGGUGUUUGUACUGGUUUGGGUAUGCCACCUCAAAAUGUUGGAGAAGUGUAUGGAGUUGUGAAAGCUUAUACAACUAGAGUUGGUAUUGGUGCCUUUCCUACAGAGCAAGACAAUGAAAUUGGAGAAUUAUUACAAACAAGGGGUAGAGAGUUUGGUGUAACUACUGGAAGGAAAAGAAGAUGUGGCUGGUUGGACCUCGUUUUGCUCAAAUAUGCUCAUAUGAUCAAUGGAUUUACUGCGUUGGCACUUACCAAGUUGGAUAUUUUGGACAUGUUUACGGAAAUCAAAGUUGGAGUUGCUUACAAGUUAGAUGGUGAAAUCAUACCUCAUAUCCCAGCAAACCAAGAAGUCUUAAAUAAAGUUGAAGUUCAAUAUAAGACCCUCCCAGGAUGGAACACAGACAUAUC
rnacentral:sRNA from 1 species